UACAGAGGUCCCGAGCGUUGUUCGGAUUCACUGGGCGUAAAGGGUGCGUAGGUGGUUAGGUAAGUCCGAUGUGAAAUCUCCAGGCUCAACCUGGAAAUGGCAUUGGAUACUAUUUAGCUUGAGGAGUGGAGGGGGGACUGGAAUUCUCGGUGUAGCAGUGAAAUGCGUAGAUAUCGGAAAGAACAUCAGUGGCGAAGGCGGCUUUCUGGGCUGAUAUUGACGCUGAGGCGCGAAAGCGUGGGUAGCGAACAGG
rnacentral:rRNA from 1 species